rnacentral:rRNA from 1 species
CGUUGUUGCAGUUAAAAAGCUCGUAGUUGAAGUGAGGGAGUGUGUGGGUAUGAGAGCUAGUCUCAAGUACUCACAACCUCCCCCCUCCAAUCGGUGUAGUGGGGUAUUCAGUUAUUCUACUACUCCUUUGGUCGUUUACUGUGAGAAAAUUAGAGUGUUCAAAGCGGGCGUUUGUUUGAAUAGAUUAGCAUGGAAUAAUGAUUGAAGGCUUUCGUGUUCGAUUUGAUUGGUUUGUUCAUGGAAGCAAGGUUAAAAGGAACAGUUGGGGGUAUUCAUAUUCACUAGUUAGAGGUGAAAUUCUCGGAUUUAUGGAAGAUGAACAGGUGCGAAAGCAUUUACCAAGGAUGUUUUCAUUAAUCA